UCCUAUUAUUUGAUACCCAUAUUGUGGUGGUUGUGGAAAAAUAUGUACCUAGUCCGCCAUAUUGGAACGGCGUCCAUCUUGAAUUUUAAAUUUUGACAUAAUCAUCGUGUUUUACUAGUGUAGCCCUUUCAUUUGAUACCCAUAUUGCGGGGGUUAAGGAAAAAUAUGUAAUCCGCCAUUUUGUAUCGGCGGCCAUCUUAGAUUUAUAAUGUUAUUGAUUUUAUUAUAUUCUAUUGUCAUCUAAAUUAAAUGUGUGUACCAAAUUUCAGAUCAAUCUGACAACGGGAAGGUGCUUAAAUUCCAAUUUCUAAUUUUGACCCAAAUAAAUAAAUACCGUACGGGUCGAGCUAAAUAAAACCGUUUAAAAAAAAAAAGAUGUUCCUGUCCAGAUUCACACGUCACAGGCAUUCUAUGUUGAACACAAAUUAUGGGCGAGUCUGGAAUUUGUUUUUUACUCGAUUACCGACAAAAGGAAUGUAAUGAUACGGGUCUUCACAGUAUAUAAAAAUCGAGGGGCCCGUAACCGUCACCUAUGCGAGCUGCGGCUUCCAGUGUGAGACGAGACGCUGUAACGCAAACCGCUAAAUGCCUCCCGAAGAAGACUUGGAAGGGUGAAAUAAAAAUUGCCGAAAACGGCAACAACACAGUCUUCAGAAGAACAUGGACAAGACUAGAAUCAUGUCUAACGUCCAUGUCACAUCUACCGGUUACAAUUGCGAACACUACGCUAGAAGUUGUCGAUGAGUAUGUGUACCUGGGACAAGUUGUCCGAAUAGAUAAGUCCAAUUUCAACCGACGAUUCCAACUGGGCAGCGUUCGGAAAACUACGCCACAUCUUUUCAUCCAAAAUACAUCAAAUUUUGAAGAGGAAGCUAAACAUCACAAACGUUCCUUAUUGUCUUAGAAAAGUCAGUACAUCUUUCAUGGGGAACUGUAUACGUUUUUAUAAUAAACUUCCAGAUGACGUUUUACAUUUAAAUGAAAGAAAAUUUAAAACAUAUAUAUAAAAAGGACUCUCUGUACAAAAGCAUAUUAUAAAUUAAAUGACUAUUUGAAUGACAAAACUGCAUGGAUUUGAAUUUUGUAUUAAUGUGAAUUGUAUUGUAAAUGUAAUUAUUGUAAUUUUUUUUAAAUCAAUAUUAUUUUAUAUAGUAUAUAUUAUAAUUAUAGAUUGACGUAUCAUAAGAAUCUGUAACAGAUGUAUAUGAAUAAAGAUGAUUGAAUGAUUGAUUGAUUGAAACUUGCUCUACCUCAAAAUUAGUAGAAUAUACUAGCUGACCCCGUAAACGUUGUUUUACCACUUAUUGCAAAAUAUAAAAAUCGCGAUUAAAAUACAGGGGUUGAUCGUAAUACGAUGAAAAUUUAAAGUUGUAUGUAUUUUU